AACCAACCUUCUUUCUGGUCAGGUUACCCAUCUAACCCUUAGUGAACACUGUUCAACUGUUUUGACAAUUAUUCAACAACUCCCGAUCGUUAGAUUGCACUCAAAAUUUAAUUUUGGGAACUAGAUCGAAUAGUGCGGUGAGUUUUGGAAAGCAUGCCAUUCAUUUUGUGAACUAGAUUGAGAGUUUAGCUCUGUAUUCUUUGUUUUAUGUAAUCUAAUACAUUCAAAAUGGCAUACCAUUUUUGUUUCCAUAAUUGUUGAUAUAUAAAAUUUGCAGAAAGAGAUGGAUGCAUUUGAAAGAAUAAAAA
rnacentral:misc_RNA from 1 species